AGUGAACGCUGGCGGCAGGCCUAACACAUGCAAGUCGAGCGGCAGCGGGCUGUAGCAAUACAGUGCCGGCGAGCGGCGGACGGGUGAGGAAUACAUCGGAAUCUACCUUGUCGUGGGGGAUAACGUAGGGAAACUUACGCUAAUACCGCAUACGAACUACGGUUGAAAGCGGAGGACCGCAAGGCUUCGCGCGAUUGGAUGAGCCGAUGUCGGAUUAGCUAGUUGGCGGGGUAAUGGCCCACCAAGGCGACGAUCCGUAGCUGGUCUGAGAGGAUGAUCAGCCACACUGGAACUGAGACACGGUCCAGACUCCUACGGGAGGCAGCAGUGGGGAAUAUUGGACAAUGGGCGCAAGCCUGAUCCAGCCAUGCCGCGUGUGUGAAGAAGGCCUUCGGGUUG
rnacentral:rRNA from 1 species